UACGUAGGGGGCUAGCGUUGUCCGGAAUCAUUGGGCGUAAGGCGCGUGUAGGCGGCCCGAUAAGUCCGCUGUGAAAGUCCAGGGCUCAACCCUGGGAUGCCGGUGGAUACUGUCGGGCUCGAGUCCGGAAGAGGCGAGUGGAAUUCCUGGUGUAGCGGUGAGAUGCGCAGAUAUCAGGAGGAACACCAAUGGCGAAGGCAGCACUCUGGGACGUGACUGACGCUGAGACGCGAAAGCGUGGGGAGCAAACAGG
rnacentral:rRNA from 1 species